AUUUAUUAGGUUGGUGCAAAAGUUAUUGUGGCUUUUGCCAUUACUUUCAGUGGCAAAAAUCACGAUUACUUUUGCACCAACCUAAU
rnacentral:miRNA from 1 species